AAAAUAAUGAUGAGAAAAUAACGCUUUAGUCAUUUACAACUCUUGUAAUUACCCAUCUAGUUUGGCCUCUAGAGAAUGAUGCCUCACAAUGAUAUAAUGUUGGCACCAUUGCACUUAGUUAAGUUAUUCCCACCAUGCUAGUUCGUGUAGGGGUUCAAGAAUAGCCUCACAAUGAUAUGAUGUCGGCCAUCCUCGUUGCCUACCUCACCACAUCAUGUAUGUACAUAUGGACUCCUAUGAAUGUAAGCACGUACAUUGAACUUCCCCAUGAUAGGGUGACGUAGGUGUAGGAGUCACAAACGAUUGGAGCCCACCAUGGUGGAAGGCCUAUGAAGAGAUGUUCAAAGCAUCUCUCACUUAUCAACUUAAUAUUCGUUUUGUUGAGGGAGUUGUGUUGGGCUACAUCAAUUUUAUUUUAAUCUUAUUAAAAGAACUUGGGCCUAUCACAACCAUUGGUCCAAGUUAAUAUGAAUUAGUAGUAUAUAAUACUCCCACUAUUUCGAUGAAACAAGCGAGACUAUAUGGAACUACUAACGAAUGCAUUGCAUCCUUAUAUGGACUAUAUAGUCAUAUUAGGUCUUAGGAUGAUUAUGAACCGUUUGAUUUGAUCCAACACGAGCCUUGUGUUGGACCUUGGGUUUAAGGUAGAUAGUUGUUGAUUUUAGUUACGCGUUUAAUCUAAUUAAACCGUUAUUUCCUAUUGGGCGUUGGACCCAACUAUUCCAAUUUGCAUACAUAUAAACAAAAAGGAAUACAUGAAAUAAAGAGAAGGGCUUAUGCCCCUUUACAACAAAUUAGAAGGACUUAUGUCCUUUUACAACAAAUUUGAACUAAUCAAAUUACAUUCAAAUCUAAACUACUUAACCCAAACAUUCACAAUGUAAAGCGGCCAAUCACAUAACUCAAUUAUCGAGGCCUUUGGUUCAUAAUCACCCUUUUCUUAAUCAAUCAAAUUAACUAAGAAAGCAACUUAAACAAUUGGUUUUCGGAUUCAUAGAAUUGAUUUAAAUGGAACUAAAUGAAAUGAAAAUCCAAUUCUCAUUAAAGAGACAAAACCAUUUUGUUCUCAUCAUCUUUUGAGCCGAAAAACAAUGACCACAACAAUUGGGCCAUAAGGUUAAAACAUAAACUUUUGGGGUCACUUUGUAAAAACACAAGAGUCCACAACUUCAUGUAAUUACAACUAGAACCCAAAAAUUUCAACAAUAGCAAAAACUUCAUUAAAGGAGCAAAACAAUUUGUCCUUUUGCGUUUUUGGGCCUUAACGAAAAAACGUAAACUUUUGGGCCAAAGUACAAAUACACAAAAGUAUCAAAACUUUAUGUAAUUGCAUAAAAGGCCCCAAAAGUACCCCCAUUAAGGGGUGGCUGGUUUUGGUAGUGAUAAAGGAGGGGGGAAAAGGUUUUGGUGAAAAAUUCAAAAUUUGAAAGUGUUUUGUGCAAGUGGAUAGGUAGGUGAGGAAAAGUUGAUUGGUAUAGGUUAUAAGAAAAUGUUUUGUCAAACAAUAAAGACAUAAAUCAUCCAUCACCAAUCAUCCAUCACCAAUUAAUUAUAAACCAAAACUUUAUGAAAAACACCAAACAUUUUGAAUCAAAACUCCAAACCUUUUUGUUCUUGGUAAGAACAUCAAGAAUAUUGAAGAACACACAUGAAAACUCAUAAGAGCUCCAUGAAUGUUUUCACACAAUAAAACUCAAAUUUUCACUACACAAAAGAGGGUUAACAUCCUAGGGUACUUAGGGGUUCCAAAAGUCACUUUAAAACUCUUUUAACAAGACAAACAUGAACCCAAAAAUCCACCCUUUGGAUUUGGCCGAAUUUCCCAACAUACAUGGCACCAAAUUUUAGUUCCAAUAUUCAUGCUUAAAUGAACUACAUCUACAACAUUUGAGAUGCUAAAUUUUCAAGCAAAAUUUAUAUUCAAAAGCAAGAACAAAGCUUGUAACAUUUAUAACAUUUAAAUCACAAACCAUGAAAAACACAAAACCCAAAAGGAUUCACCAUAAACUAGACCUAGGCUCUUGAUACCACUUGAAGGAAAAAUUUUGUGCUAGCUAAGAACAUGUGAGAAUAUUUGAACACAUAUGCAAACUAUUAACACAUUAAAGUAGGCAUGCAUUCAAAAACAAUUCCAAAACCCAUGACUUUCAAAGCCUAGUGAAUGGUGAACCACAAGACUCUUU
rnacentral:lncRNA from 1 species